rnacentral:tRNA from 1 species
GGGGUUGUGACUCAGUGGUAGAGCGCUUGCCUUGCAUGCAUGAGGCCCUGGGUUCAAUCCUCAGCACCA